rnacentral:tRNA from 3 species
UCAAAUUAGAGCUUGUAUAAGUAUUUCAUUUACAUUGAAAAGAAAUUAAAGAAUUAAUUAAUUUGAG